CUUGGUGCAUUUCAUAAUCCUGGGCGGGGUUCUGGUUUUUUUCAACGGGUUCUCCUUGCAAAGCUAUCAGACCUGUCGUCAGCUCAUGGAAAUGCUGCUAAGUACCAACAUAAAGCAGGCAUUGGAAGAUGCAUUCUCUGGAAAGGGUGGAUUUGAAGGACCUAAGCUCUCAUGUGACUCGACAUCAGUAGAACACAGGAGGAGAUGCUGCAGCCGAGCGUGGCUAACUCACCAGCGUUUGGGCUACUGCCGGGCUGAGCACCCUGGCUGGGCUUGCUCCAACAUCUCCCUGCCCCGAGGUUCUGAGAGGACACGGCCGAAUCAGCUGAGCCAGACUGGCCAAAGGGAUAUUCCAUGUCAUACGACAUCAGCUCAAGCAUAAGAAUGAAGUGAAAGAAGGAAGAUGGUGUCUGUUCUCUGCAAGCAACCACUAAGCAGAGAGAGCCCUGCUUCCCAAGGCUGCAUAUAGUCUGCUGAUGGGCAGCAGAGAUCGGCAUCUCUCGCCCUGCUUCUGCUUCCGCGCGCCCUAUUGCUUUGCUUCUUGUCACUAUUAAAUUGUCUCUAUCUUG